rnacentral:lncRNA from 1 species
UCUCCAUGUUUUUAAUUCUCAUUUCAUAGUUUUUCAAGUGUUUAGGCUAUUUUUCUCUAACUCAUUUGAUGUUAAAACCCUAAAAUAAGUGUAAAAUUAUUAUAUACUGUCUAAAACAUAAAUUUGAUGCACCGCAAGCUGUUCCAUAUAUCAAUUGCAAGCUAAGCUCAACAUAACUUCUUUUCCAAAAAAAAAAUGAUUAAAAUACCACAUAUAGGUUAUAUUGAUUUGUCAACAAUCUCAACACUGCAUAAAAACAAUGAAAAAAAUUACGAAAAAAAUUGUACUUCAUUAAGGAUAUGAAAGCAUAAACGUAUUAUUAAAUUCAUGAUUUCAAAAUCAAUGAAAUAUAUCAAAUUAAUCCUAAAAUUAACUAAUGAUGAAAGAACACUAACAUGAUUAAAGACAAAAUUGUAAAAACUACAUACCAAGAAGGACUGUCAAUACUUCAAAUUAAUAUAAAAAUAUUUUAUCUCAUUGUGGUAUUAUUCCUAUAAAUAAUUAUGUCACCAUUCUAGAGUAUUAACUAUCUUUUAUGAUUUUUUUUGCCAUUUUUCUUCACCGUUUAUAGGUGUAGAGUAAAUAAUCAUUGGCUAUCACUGACUAAUAUGAACCAUUGAAUCUUAUUGGUCCCCUUUACUAAGGUAUCCCUUUCUAAAUACAUUUUAUUAACCACAAUAUUCAAAUGAUACAUUGGUUUCCGCCAUCACCUCUCUCUCUAUGUAUGUGUGUGAGUGUGUGUCUGUGUGUGUACGUAUGUAUGUUCUUGAAUGCUGGAUUAGUAAUAAAAAAUGAUUAAAUAUUGGUAACUAGGUUUUAAC